UACGUAGGGGGCAAGCGUUAUCCGGAUUUACUGGGUGUAAAGGGAGCGUAGACGGAGAUUUAAGUCUGAAGUGAAAUGACGGGGCUCAACCACGGAGCUGCUUUGGAAACUGGGUCUCUAGAGUACAGGAGAGGUAAGUGGAAUUCCUAGCGUAGCGGUGAAAUGCGUAGAUAUUAGGAGGAACACCAGAGGCGAAGGCGGCUUACUGGACUGUAACUGACGUUGAGGCUCGAAGGCGUGGGGAGCAAAC
rnacentral:rRNA from 1 species